rnacentral:rRNA from 1 species
GACAGAGGUGGCUAGCGUUGUUCGGUGUCACUGGGCUUAAAGAGUGUGUAGGCGGGAAAGCAAGCGUCUUGUGAAAGCCCCCGGCUUAACCGGGGAAAUGCUUGACGAACUGCUUUUCUUGAGGCAGGCAGGGGUGCGCGGAACUCUUGGUGGAGCGGUGAAAUGCGUAGAUAUCAAGAGGAACGCCGGUGGAGAAAUCGGUGCACUGGGCCUGUCCUGACGCUGAGACACGAAAGCGUGGGUAGCGAACGGGAUUAGAUACCCCGGUAGUCCACGCCGUAAACGAUGUCUACUAGGUUGUGGAGGUUCUGACGCCGUCACGGCCGAAGCAAAAGUGCUAAGUAGACCGCCUGGGGAGUACGGCCGCAAGGCUAAAGCUCAAGGGAAUUGACGGGGGCUCACACAGGCGGUGGAGCAUGUGGAUUAAUUCGAAGCAACGCGCAGAACCUUACCUGGGUUUGACAUGCUUGGAUGGCUGCCUGGAAACAGGUUAGUCUGCCCUUCGGGGUGAAACUUGCACAGGUGCUGCAUGGCUGUCGUCAGCUCGUGUUGUGAAAUGUCGGGUUAAGUCCCUUAACGAGCGAAACCCUUGCCGUUAGUUGCCAUCGGGUCAUGCCGGGGACUCUAACGGGACUGCCGGUGUUAAACCGGAGGAAGGUGGGGAUGACGUCAAGUCAUCAUGGCCUUUAUGCCCAGGGCCUCACACGUGCUACAAUGGCGGCCACAAAGCGACGCAAGACCGCGAGGUGGAGCAAAUCGCAAAAAGGUCGCCCCAGUUCGGAUUGUAGGCUGGCAAUUCGCCUGCAUGAAGUCGGAAUCGCUAGUAAUCGCGUAUCAGCGACGACGCGGUGAAUGUGUUCCUGAGCCU